rnacentral:rRNA from 1 species
UACGUAGGGCGCAAGCGUUAUCCGGAAUUAUUGGGCGUAAAGAGCUCGUAGGCGGCUUGUCGCGUCGUCCGUGAAAACCUGCAGCUCAACUGCAGGCUUGCGGUCGAUACGGGCAGGCUAGAGUUCGGUAGGGGAGACUGGAAUUCCUGGUGUAGCGGUGAAAUGCGCAGAUAUCAGGAGGAACACCGGUGGCGAAGGCGGGUCUCUGGGCCGAUGACUGACGCUGAGGCGCGAAAGCCAGGGGAGCAAACGGG